rnacentral:rRNA from 1 species
GUGGGGAAUAUUGGACAAUGGGGGGAACCCUGAUCCAGCCAUGCCGCGUGUGUGAAGAAGGCCUUUUGGUUGUAAAGCACUUUAAGCGAGGAGGAGGCUACCGAGAUUAAUACUCUUGGAUAGUGGACGUUACUCGCAGAAUAAGCACCGGCUAACUCUGUGCCAGCAGCCGCGGUAAUACAGAGGGUGCAAGCGUUAAUCGGAUUUACUGGGCGUAAAGCGAGCGUAGGUGGCCAAUUAAGUCAAAUGUGAAAUCCCCGAGCUUAACUUGGGAAUUGCAUUAGAUACUGGUGGGCUAGAGUAUGGGAGAGGAUGGUAGAAUUCCAGGUGUAGCGGUGAAAUGCGUAGAGAUCUGGAGGAAUACCGAUGGCGAAGGCAGCCAUCUGGCCUAAUACUGACACUGAGGUGCGAAAGCAUGGGGAGCAAACAGGAUUAGAAACCCGGGUAGUCC